rnacentral:rRNA from 1 species
GCAACUCGCCUACACGAAGUCGGAAUCGCUAGUAAUCGCGGAUCAGCAUGCCGCGGUGAAUACGUUCCCGGGCCUUGUACACACCGCCGUCACACCAUGGGAGUUUGUAACGCCCAAAGUCGGUGGCCUAACCUUUAUGGAGGGAGCCGCCUAAGGCGGGACAGAUGACUGGGGUGAAGUCGUAACAAGGUAAC